CACGUAGGGUGCGAGCGUUGUCCGGAAUUAUUGGGCGUAAAGAGCUCGUAGGCGGUGUGUCGCGUCGGCCGUGAAAACCUGUGGCUUAACUAUGGGCUUGCGGUCGAUACGGGCAUCACUGGAGUUCGGCAGGGGAGACUGGAAUUCCUGGUGUAGCGGUGAAAUGCGCAGAUAUCAGGAGGAACACCGGUGGCGAAGGCGGGUCUCUGGGCCGAUACUGACGCUGAGGAGCGAAAGUGUGGGGAGCGAACAGG
rnacentral:rRNA from 1 species